GAUGCAUUUGGGGACGUCAGCGGCCCCAGCAGAGAAAGCCACAGGGGACGCCGCGGGGGAGGCUUUCACUGGGCUGCGGGUACCUCGAUGACUCCCUGGGGUGUGAAAACCCAAAGGACUCCCUGCCCAGUCCCUGCUUGAGGCUCCAGUUUCGCCCCACCGGAGAACCCCACCCCAUCAGGGACUCCUGGUAUCAACCCGUCCUGCUCCGCGCUUUCACCCCAGCAGGAUCCGUGCUCCCCAGGUGGUGGCGAGGACAAGGCCACCCUGCAGGCUGAGGCCCUGAGCACGCAGGGAGAAGUGUCCCUUGGGGGGCCACACGUGUGCCCACGGGAGCUGGAACUUAAGACACCGGUGUGAACUCUGCUUGUAGUUUGCAGUUACAGGCUGGAUUCAAGCUGGGACAUCAGAGGAGGGUGUGGUGUCCCCGGCGGGUCAGGUCACCUAGCCCAGCCCUUGCUUCCCUGAACUGGAAAAGUGUCCACUUGUGGGGACAGCAAGUUCUUCCCAACUCUUCAAGAACUUGGAGUGGAAAUGAGGAUCCCUGAAGAGAUACCAUUAGCCCGUCAUGAGCACAGCUGCUGGCCAUGUAAGCCAAAUUCAGAAGUAUCAUUUUUCUCCUCCGACCUCCACCUCAUAACGCUCUGCUGACCUUCCAAAUCAUCAGGGAGUUGGUUUCUCUUCUGGUAGCAGGUACUGAUGGCCUCCUACCCAGCAAACUUUCCCUCUGCCUUUGCUCUUGCUGAGAAAACUUCAGUUUUGUUCCCGUGUCUACAAGAUGCUGGAAAGCUGUGUGCCUGAGGGAACCUGGCGUCUGCCCCAAAGGAUAAAUUGAUUAGCCAGCAGCUGCUUCCCAUCGUUCUGCUGCCCUUCAUCGUGCACUGGCCCUUCACCUUCUUCUCUAGGUUUACUUCCAGACUCAUCCAGCACAGGCAGGGGUACUGGACACCCUUCUUUUUUUUAUGAAACACACACACAACAUUGCAAGCUAGAUCAUGGAUGCUAGAUUAGAUCAUAGAUGUUAGAUUACAUCUGGUUAGAAAGGGAGAACUUUUCUGUUUAGGGGGCAAAAAAUAUGCAACCUGCUAAAAGCAGAACUAGCUGGGUAUUGUGGGAUUGACUACGGGUCCUCCAUAUUCUGAAAUUCUAGAGGUUCGAUUAUCUCAUCUGCAACAUUUCUGAUGUGUGGUUACUAGAGUUGCACUCUGGAAUAACUGGAGAGAGACUCGCUUGGGAAACACACACAACUAACCCCAUCAUUUACUUAGCGUUUGAGCAAGUGUUACACAGUGCUUUGUCAUAGCCUUGUUAAUUGACGCUUGCCCAGGGCCAGGAAUAAUUUACUGGACAAGACAGAAAGGCUCUUAUUUUAUUCAUUUCUAAUGUAUCCUUGGCACGGAGCACAAUAACCUGCAGAGCUUUCAAUAUUUCUCCCUAAAUUUUUAUUUUGAAAAACUUCAAGGACGUUGGAGUCAUCGUAUCCUUCACCUGGAAUCACCAGCUGUCAACAUCUUCCCAUGUGCGGCCCUCUCCCUCUCUGCUCUCCCCACGUGAACGCACAGCCCAUAUUUCUUUCGGCUGAACGACCCGGAAACCAGCACAAAAGCUAAGUGGCUUAGUGCCCACACGGUGAGUGGGAAGGGAGAGUCGUCAAACAGGGCUGCAGACCAAGCAAGUCUUGCACUUCCUGGACUCAGUUAGCUCUUCUGCCUACUGGACAGACGGGACUUCGGGAUCUUCAAGGCAUUAUCAUUGUAAAGGUUCAUUCACAUCUGCAGUUAACUGCUAUAUACUCAGUUAUUCUGCCCCUAAUUCUACAUGCUUAUGCCUUGUGCAAGAUCAAAUUCAUAUUUUUUUCCUAACUUUAGAGAUAGGUUGGAACUGUGGAAAUGACCCCACACACCUGUCACCUGGCUGGCGGGAGCCUUUAGGUCCUGUGGCCCAUGUGUCUGUAGCUCGGGUCAGGUGUGGCUCUCCAAAGUCCUUCUCAGUGGCUGUAGGCCUCCCUGGUAACUCAUGAGGUCACCAAGCCCACCUUUUGGCUUCAGAAAUCCCUUCCUUCAGCCUCCCUCAGAGCUGGAUGUCUGUGCUGGAACUCAGAGCUCAGAGAUGCUCAGGAUGGAGACUUCCGGUGUCCUUCUGUCCAUGUUUACGCCCGUCGUGGCUCCUGAACAACACCAGGCUGUAACAUCCCUCGACCCCUUGCCUUCUGCCUACCUGGUUAUCAGUUGCUCACAUUGCCUGGGCAGUCACUUCAGCACUGCCCUUAAAUUUCCUCCAAACCCACAGCCUUCCCAAUUAUACCAGGUGUACUUGCACCAUUAUUUAGUUGCAAAUACUGCACGGCAGAGUGACAUAAGAUAGAAUGUAGAACAGCUGUGCAGGGAAACAAAAAUCAACUUGUGAGCAUUCUGCAAGGUGAGGGUACACUUUUUAGAAUAAAAAUGUGUAUUUCACUAUGUUGUAACUUGACCAAAAAACUUGUAUACUUGGUCAUACAGGAUAAUAAGGACGGGUCCUCCCAGUGGAACGAGAUCCUUGCCAACUUGCCCAUGUGAGCCUGAAAAUGUGAUACAUGAAUCGUAAAGCCUUAAUGUAUUGAGGACUGCAGAUAAGUACGUGUCCGUGUGGUGUAGUUCGAAGUUUAAGCUGAAGGAGGAACACAGUGAUUAUAGAUCACAGCUGUGACCCUGCAGAGAGUCUUGGGUAUCCAGAGUCAUGUUUGGAGAAAACAGACCGCAUGAGCUGAAGAGAGAACAAAUGCGAGUGUUUCCGGGUUUAUGGUGAUUAUGUCACAAAAGACAGAAAGGGAAGAGACAUGGAAGCCCUGGAGCAGGAGCACUUCCACAUAUCCUUCUGAUGCCCAUUCACAACCUCUCAAAAUGUGCUUUAAACCAGUUCUACUGAAACUUAUAUUGUUUUCAUUAACUAGUUUCAGGCUAGCAAUGAACUCUCACUUCCCAGAACCCUAAAGAUCACGGAAACUGUCUGAACGUCUGCUCUCCGCUGCAGUCACCCAGGGAGCCUCAAAAGAGCCUGCUGACUGAGUCUCCCCCAGAAAUUGUGCUGUUAUCGGUCUGAAAGGAAGCCCUAGUCAUUGUGAUUUAAAAAAAAAAAAAAUACCCCAGAUGAUUAUACUAUGGAACCAAAACUGGAUCAUUGAUGUGGUCUCAACAUUUGCCGGUCUCUACCGACUGGAAGACAUAAAUGCGUAACUUUUUGGUACUAUUUUUCCAGGGACAGAGAGAUCACCUUUUACUUAAGGACGCAUAGAAGGGAGCAAGAAGGCUGGAAGAAGAUAUAAAAGAAUCUCACCAGCAUCUGAAUAUCCUCACCUUCCUCGCUUGAGGGUGUAUGUUUUGUGCACUCGAUUUCUGGAUAGUUUGAACUGCAGAAUGGGAGGAAUGGGUAAGAAGAAAGAAAAACUGAUGAACAAGAAGGAUGCAGGAGAAGGAGGUUGUUUAGGACAACUCAUGGUAGCUAAACCUUGGAAGCAGGCUCUAUGGCCACCAACAGAUGAACAACAGUACUACUCUGUCACAAAGAAGGAUGAACUUGAGUAAUUGAUGCUCCGAAUCUAUGCUUGAUGAUCACCAUGAAGAGAAAUCUUCCCCAAACCUAAUGACACACUGGCUGAGGUGGCCCGUGUGGAAACCCUUCAGCUAAUCAGCAAGACUUAAGGCGUAUUCUUCUUCUGGUGGCAGUAAGACAGAAAAGAUGCAGACAACAAACCAUAAUUAAGGAAUAAUCCCUGCCUACAUCGGUUUCACCCUGCAGUCAGAGGAUCAAAGCAGAAGAACUACAUCUGAAGGCUACAGAGCUGCCUAGUCCUGGCAUGAGAGAAUGGUUGUGUUUGUUUGGGUCAGAUUUUAGUGGUCAGGAAAGCGAAG
rnacentral:lncRNA from 1 species